rnacentral:lncRNA from 1 species
AAUAUUUUAUACAAAAUAUCGUUAAUAUUAUAAUGUAAUAUUAAAAGAUGAUUUAUAAUCAAUUUAUUAGCUUAUAUUUAAAAAUUAUUCGCAUUAGUACAUAAUUCUCCUUUAUUUUAUGUACAUUUUCAUGUUCUUCACAAAAAAGAAGAUUGUAUUUUCAGUCUAAAUUGAGGGGGUCUUUUGGUAGAAUUCCAUUUUGAAUUAAUUAGUUUGAUAUUUAGUUAGAAAGAGGGCAGCUGAAAGUUAAUUACCUUUAACAAUUGCCUGCUUCACAAUUGAUUUCAGUGGACGUAGAUAUAGGGAUGGCAAAAAUCCCCACGGGGACGGGUACCUUCGGGAAUUUUUCCCAUUCGGGGAGGGUAUGAGGAUAAUUUCAUACCUAAUUUCUUAUUCGGGGAAGGGACGUGGAAAGUUUUUCACCCAAUUUCUUAUUCGGGGAGGGGACGGGGAUGAGGUGGAAUCCCCAUCCCCUACCCAUUUUCCCAUUUUUAU